ACGUGUGUUGCGCGUCGUUGAGUGUAAAGAGUAGAAAAGUUUCCAGUCCAGCAGCUUCUAUCGUUGGCGAUGGGCACUGGCUCGUAUCGUGCCGUAUUGUACUGCGCUUUAGCAAAUACCUAAAACAUUGCCUGGCAAAGCAUUUGCCAUAAAGUUGCAUUUAUUAUGUUGUGUGAAUUUGUUAUUGUGAUCGAAAGACGUCUUCUGUCUUAGAUGCCUCGUGAAUUUUGAUAUAAAUAUAAUGACAGACUUACACAUUGUGAAUUAGAAGGCACACAACAAAACGAAUGCUCUGCGUGCGAACCCCGACGACGAAAUCAUUCCAUCCAGCCGUCGAAGCCGUGUUCUCGGGGGUUUGGGAUUGUGAUUUUGUAUAAAUCUCUAGUUAUGUGCCAACAACUAUACAAAAUAAAGACAAUCUAAAACGGUACGAGCUGUCUGCAAAGCUGCUCGAAGGAUCUGCCGAGCCCGCAUUAUCUGUGAUAUACAGCUCAGCCUCUCGUCCGUCCUAUAA